CCUUGGGAUACAAUUGUGUGAUCCGGUAUAACUCAUAAAGACCAAUUGUGCAGGUUUGCUUGUCACCAAUCUUCUUAAAUAUGGCAGCAAGUUCCUGCUUCAACUGAGCAUCUGCAUUAUGUGUUGCUGGUGCUGGAUUAUUUGCUGCAGAAUCACCCCAGUGAGUUUGGCCAGGUACAGACGGAGUCAACAUCCUUGCAGCGGCCAAGGUCUGAAGGUUAAGAUCAAUGUAGGCAAGAAUAAUUGGAGGUGGUUGCAUGUCGAUUGGCACCAUGGACAGAUGACCUUUUAUGGCAGUACCACGAAGCUUGACAAGUUCAUGCAGCACAGUUUUCACCAUUCUUAAAGGUUUAUCAUCGGCUCCCGCUCUCCUCCUGAUCUCUUCCAUUCCUAAUUCUUGCAGGUAAAUGUGAAUACUCUGAAGGAUGCGAUCAAGG
rnacentral:misc_RNA from 1 species